GAUGAACGCUGGCGGCGUGCCUAAUACAUGCCAGUCGAGCGAACGGACGAGAAGCUUGCUUCUCUGAUGUUAGCGGCGGACGGGUGAGUAACACGUGGAUAACCUACCUAUAAGACUGGGAUAACUUCGGAAAACCGGAGCUAAUACCGGAUAAUAUUUUGAACCGCAUGGUUCAAAAGUAAAAGACGGUCUUGCUGUCACUUAUAGAUGGAUCCGCGCUGCAUUAGCUAGUUGGUAAGGUAACGGCUUACCAAGGCAACGAUGCAUAGCCGACCUGAGAGGGUGAUCGGCCACACUGGAACUGAGACACGGUCCAGACUCCUACGGGAGGCAGCAGUAGGGAAUCUUCCGCAAUGGGCGAAAGCCUGACGGAGCAACGCCGCGUGAGUGAUGAAGGUCUUCGGAUCGUAAAACUCUGUUAUUAGGGAAGAACAUAUGUGUAAGUAACUGUGCACAUCUUGACGGUACCUAAUCAGAAAGCCACGGCUAACUACGUG
rnacentral:rRNA from 1 species